rnacentral:rRNA from 1 species
CCUACGGGAGGCAGCAGUGAGGAAUAUUGGUCAAUGGACGAGAGUCUGAACCAGCCAAGUAGCGUGAAGGAUGACUGCCCUAUGGGUUGUAAACUUCUUUUAUAUGGGAAUAAAAUGUUCCACGUGUGGGGUUUUGUAUGUACCAUAUGAAUAAGGAUCGGCUAACUCCGUGCCAGCAGCCGCGGUAAUACGGAGGAUCCGAGCGUUAUCCGGAUUUAUUGGGUUUAAAGGGAGCGUAGAUGGGUUGUUAAGUCAGUUGUGAAAGUUUGCGGCUCAACCGUAAAAUUGCAAUUGAUACUGGCAGUCUUGAGUACAGUUGAGGUAGGCGGAAUUCGUGGUGUAGCGGUGAAAUGCCUAGAUAUCACGAAGAACUCCGAUUGCGAAGGCAGCUUACUAAACUGCCACUGACAUUGAUGCUCGAAAGUGUGGGUAUCAAACAGGAUUAGAUACCCCAGUAGUC